rnacentral:rRNA from 1 species
GAUGAACGCUGGCGGCGUGCUUAACACAUGCAAGUCGAACGAAGAUGCCGGAGUGCUUGCACUUUGGCAGACUGAGUGGCGGACGGGUGAGUAACGCGUGGGUAACCUGCCUUAUACAGGGGGAUAACAGUUGGAAACGACUGCUAAUACCGCAUAAGCGCACGGUAUCGCAUGAUACAGUGUGAAAAACUCCGGUGGUAUAAGAUGGACCCGCGUCUGAUUAGCUUGUUGGUGAGGUAACGGCCCACCAAGGCGACGAUCAGUAGCCGGCCUGAGAGGGUGAACGGCCACAUUGGGGACUGAGACACGGGCCCAAAACUUCCCUACGGGGAGGCAGCAGUGGGGAAUAUUGCACAAUGGGGGAAACCCUGAUGCAGCGACGCCGCGUGAGUGAUGAAGUAUUUCGGUAUGUAAAACUCUAUCAGCAGGGAAGAUAAUGACGGUACCUGACUAAGAAGCACCGGCUAAAAUACGUG